rnacentral:lncRNA from 1 species
CCCGGGAACGUCCUGAUCUCGGAUACAAACACACGACACGACGAGGAUGUCUCAUCCACAGCCGUCUGCGCAGGCUCGGCAGAUGGCGUGGGAUUUAUCGAUCUGAUCCACGCGCUCACCUGUUUGUCGAAGCGAGGCUGUACAGAAACUCAUUUCCAUGUUCUGAACAUCUGGAGCCCAGAUGAUGCGACGCUGGCCGCCCCUCUUUGCCACAUGUGGAUGUUUUGGUCUCCACGAACGCAGGAGGCAUCUCGAGAAAUGAGGACCAAAAUGGUACCAGAGUCAUCAAGCUGUAGAGGAUCAGGGGUCACUGUGAGGAAUCCCGUCUCCACUACUGGACUCAAAGUUUUCUCCCCACAUGCGAGCAGAGCUGCGCAAACAGAUCUCCCUUCAAGCUGAUUACAAAUAAAAUUGCUCUGCGAACAAAAAAAAAAAUUGUUCUCACACUCUUUGCAGAAGAUUCAUGCGUUUUCUUAUUUUAGAAAAUAAGCUAAAAGGUGUACAAAUGUGUGAAAUGAAUUUAAUUGCAAUGCCAUUUUAGUUUUUGUUUAUUUAUUUAAAUAUAAAUUUGUCCCGGAAAGCUAUUAGUAAAAUCAUAUUGUAUUCAGGUCUGUGUAUUUCAUCAUUUUUAAUGACUUGUUCAUAAAUUAACGCAAUAAACGUGUAAUGUAAACUUUCUUCACGUUAUAAUGUCGAUAGUGUAUUAAUACAUCUUUUUUAAGUUACCUUUUAAACUGGAUCUCAGCAAAGUGACUGAAACCUAUUUAUUUAAUAAAAAUGUAAUUAAAAACAGAAAUGAGAUGGCUCUGUAAUUAUUAUUAAAAUCACUGAGCUGAAAUCUUCACAAAGGCCGUUUCGGUCAGCACCUUGGACAGAGGUAGACUGCAACGAGCGCUCCACGCUUGGAGGGUGAAGAAUGAAAGACGACAAUUUAUUUUAUUUUAUUUUAUUUUAUGUUAGGUUUUUUUUUUUAAACAGGUGAAUUAUGACAAAUUUGAAACAAAGAUUGCAUGAUAUAUAUUCUACUACAAGCUUAAAAUUAGCUUCCUGCCCCUGCUGUUGAUUCGAUCGUGAUGUAAAACAGGUCAAAUAAAUUAAUUCAAUCCAGCUGUUGAUGACAGCGUAACGCAGACUUCAGCAUGUUGCCGUUCGUCUAAUUGCUGCUUUUCUGGAGAUCAAACUGACCCCAGUUCCCGAGAACUAGUCUGCUGCUGGACAGAGGGUCGUGCCCUUUUACUCUCCUGGGACACAACUUGACCCGACACAACCGGUCGGACACGUGUGCCUUCUUCGAUCCACGAUCCGACUUCAUGAUUAGUGAAGUUUGCGUCAUUCCUCCCAUGGCUCUUUCAGCGUGUAAAACUCCGAAUCACAGAUGCUGGUGUUACACCUGACCAACGCCUUAUUAAGUGAAAUCGUCAUCAUAAGAAAGAAAGAAAGCAUCGGUGUCCACCUGAUACCACUGAAUGGGAGCAUGUACGCUGUACACAUUUGCAGUGCACUUCUUUAUUUUGUAAGUCGUGCAAUGCCCGCUUCUUAAGUAUAAAUACACCUAAUUUUAAAUGCAGACAGCACUACCUUCAGUUCUCCUCCUUUCAUGUUGUGCACAGAGUAACAGUACAUUUAUGCUGCACUGUAUGCGUGAGUGAUGCGUGUGUGAGACCCAGAUGACCUGAGGAUGAGGGGCAGGCUGCAGGUGUUCUCUCUCAUGGCACUCAGUGUGUGUUCAUUCAUUCAUGCAUUCAUUCUGCUCAGAUAUUCUAGUAGUUGGCAGAUGUAGAUAGAUGGACAUGGUUUGUUUUUGUUAGAAGACACUGGAAAUCAUAUCACUAAAGCUGAGAAAUUAAUUUUCAUACCUUACUAUUGAGAAGAAAGCAAACAUUUAGAAGCUUUUAUUAUAUUUAUUAUGACAUUUCCAUCCAUUACACUGAUUUUAAACUAAAGUCUGGAUGAUAGGUGACAUUUUCACUCUUUCCAAUAGUUUAUCA